GGGCUUCACACGUCAUACAAUGGUGCGUACAGAGGGUUGCCAACCCGCGAGGGGGAGCUAAUCCCAGAAAACGCAUCGUAGUCCGGAUCGUAGUCUGCAACUCGACUACGUGAAGCUGGAAUCGCUAGUAAUCGCGGAUCAGCAUGCCGCGGUGAAUA
rnacentral:rRNA from 1 species